GUCCAUGUUUAAGGAAGCGUUGAAGGUCACGUCACUCAAAGCCAACAUCAGCAGGCAUCCUACCAAGAUAAUCUCUGAAGAGGUCAGAGGCACAAUUAUUACAAUUUAUUGUGGACAGGAAAACACAUGGAUGUUGAAUACCAGUUCCUGUGAAAGAUACUUGGGUUUCGGGAUAACAACAGUCCCAAGUCUUCAGAACAAAUCAACAGAAUUCAAUCAAGUAUUUCCUUGCACUUACUUGUUAUGACUUCUUAGUCUCUCCAGUCUGUGACAGUUACUCAUUUUCUCCCUGAUACAAGGACUACAACACUUUGGAAGGUGCUUGUCAGGGUGCAGCACCUCGCCCUGCUCUCGCUUCUUCCUUCUCCAGCCAUGUACGACAUGCCUGCUUCCCCUUUGCCUUCUGCCAUGAUUAUGUUUCCUGAGGCCUCCCCAG
rnacentral:lncRNA from 1 species